UUUAACUCUGAGGCUGAAGAAUGUAAUAAUUAGUCUGAGCUCAAGCUUUUUUGGACGGGUGUUUUUUGAAUUAAUUUGAGCUGCUUCUUCAUGCAUCUCGUACUAAUUAUCUAUAGAUUGGGGGUAUAAUUUACUUCUUUUUCACUUCAAGAUCCAGGAUCUUUGCAAGGUGAAGCAUCUGUCAUGGAUGCACUCAAAAAGAGAUCCCAUGAAGUGCCAGCAUCAGAUAAUUUUGGAAGUAAUUGGUUCAUCUUCCUUUUUCAGAUGAUCCAUUGAGAAAGCAUGUCAAGAUAGAUCAUUCCACUCAAUCAUUACCCUUAGAUUCUGAAUUGGAAAAUCCUCUAAUCAUAAUCCAUGAGAAGAAAAUCUCAAGUAUUAAUGAUGUGGUUAAAGUAUUGGAGUUGGUUUUGCAGUUAUGAUUUCAGAUCUGUAGAUAACCUGUUGUUGCUGAUAUUGCUACACGGGAGGAGAACAGAACAACUUGGAAAAUGUGCAAGAAGGGAGAGCUAACUCAUACAACGAAGAACAAAUUGAAGUUAAGAUCAAAUUAGUAGAAUUUGUGAGCUCUCCAUUAUUUAUAAUUAUAGGUAUGAAGUAUGUAUGUAAUAGAGCAAAGAUUGGUUGACUAUGUAAUAACAAUUGAAUUGUCAAGUUUUAUGAAAGAAAUAAUUUUUGCUUCUUGGGAUA